rnacentral:rRNA from 2 species
UACGUAGGGGGCAAGCGUUGUCCGGAAUCAUUGGGCGUAAAGAGCGCGUAGGCGGCCCGGUAAGUCCGCUGUGAAAGUCGGGGGCUCAACCCCCGGAUGCCGGUGGAUACUGUCGGGCUAGAGUCCGGAAGAGGCGAGUGGAAUUCCUGGUGUAGCGGUGAAAUGCGCAGAUAUCAGGAGGAACACCCAUGGCGAAGGCAGCUCGCUGGGACGGUACUGACGCUGAGGCGCGAAAGCGUGGGGAGCAAACAGG